AAUUUGUUGGCCGAGUGUAGGUCUUAAUUUCUUAAAUUAACUACGUGUUGUAAAGUU
rnacentral:tRNA from 1 species